rnacentral:ncRNA from 1 species
UGAUAGCGUUGAAGCGUGAGGUUGCUGCGGGGAUCCGCAGGUUUUCCGUGGAGCGAAUGUCAAGUUUCCAAACUGACGACAA